GAUGAACGCUGGCGGCGUGCUUAACACAUGCAAGUCGAACGAAGCAUUUAGAACAGAUUACUUCGGUUUGAAGUUCUUUAUGACUGAGUGGCGGACGGGUGAGUAACGCGUGGGUAACCUGCCUUGUACUGGGGGAUAGCAGCUGGAAACGGCUGGUAAUACCGCAUAAGCGCACAAUGUUGCAUGACAUGGUGUGAAAAACUCCGGUGGUAUAAGAUGGACCCGCGUCUGAUUAGCUAGUUGGUGAGAUAACAGCCCACCAAGGCGACGAUCAGUAGCCGACCUGAGAGGGUGACCGGCCACAUUGGGACUGAGACACGGCCCAGACUCCUACGGGAGGCAGCAGUGGGGAAUAUUGCACAAUGGAGGAAACUCUGAUGCAGCGACGCCGCGUGAGUGAAGAAGUAAUUCGUUAUGUAAAGCUCUAUCAGCAGGGAAGAUAGUGACGGUACCUGACUAAGAAGCUCCGGCUAAAUACG
rnacentral:rRNA from 1 species